rnacentral:rRNA from 1 species
AGAGUUUGAUCCUGGCUCAGAAUCAACGCUGGCGGCGUGCCUAACACAUGCAAGUCGAACGAGAAAGGGUUGCAAUACCUGAGUAAAGUGGCGCACGGGUGAGUAACACGUGACUAACCUACCCUGGAGUGGGGGAUAACUGAGGGAAACCUUAGCUAAUACCGCAUAAUACCUACGGGUCAAAGGAGCAAUUCGCUUCAGGAGGGGGUCGCGGGCCGAUUAGCUAGUUGGCGGGUAAUGGCCCACCAAGGCAAUGAUCGGUAUCCGGCCUGAGAGGGCGCACGGACACACUGGAACUGAAACACGGUCCAGACUCCUACGGGAGGCAGCAGUGGGGAAUUUUGCGCAAUGGGGGAAACCCUGACGCAGCAACGCCGCGUGGAGGAUGAAAUCCCUUGGGAUGUAAACUCCUUUCGAUCGGGACGAUUAUGACGGUACCGGAA